GACGAACGCUGGCGGCGUGCUUAACACAUGCAAGUCGAACGGAAAGGCCCUGCUUGCAGGGUACUCGAGUGGCGAACGGGUGAGUAACACGUGGGUGAUCUGCCCUGCACUUCGGGAUAAGCCUGGGAAACUGGGUCUAAUACCGGAUAGGAGCCAUUUUUAGUGUGAUGGUUGGAAAGUUUUUUCGGUGUAGGAUGAGCUCGCGGCCUAUCAGCUUGUUGGUGGGGAAAUGGCCUACCAAGGCGGCGACGGGUAGCCGGCCUGAGAGGGUGGACGGCCACAUUGGGACUGAGAUACGGCCCAGACUCCUACGGGAGGCAGCAGUGGGGAAUAUUGCACAAUGGGCGCAAGCCUGAUGCAGCGACGCCGCGUGGGGGAUGACGGCCUUCGGGUUGUAAACUCCUUUCGCUAGGGACGAAGCUUUUUGUGACGGUACCUAGAUAAGAAGCACCGGCUAACUACGUG
rnacentral:rRNA from 1 species